rnacentral:rRNA from 1 species
GGUUAAGUUAAUAAGGGCGCAUGGUGAAUGCCUUGGUACUAGGAGCCGAUGAAGGACGCAACUAACUGCGAUAAGCUUCGGGGAGCUGUACGUAAGCUUUGAUCCGGAGAUUUCCGAAUGAGGAAACUCGACCAGUGUUAUGACUGGUCACUGCAUAGUGAAUACAUAGCUAUGCAGAGGCAGACGUGGGGAACUGAAACAUCUAAGUACC